GNNAGCCUCUCGUUUAGAUUGAAGGAGCUUGCUCCUGAUUGAUAAACAUUUGAGUGAGUGGCGGACGGGUGAGUAACACGUGGGUAACCUGCCCUAAAGUGGGGGAUAACAUUUGGAAACAGAUGCUAAUACCGCAUAAAACCUAACACCGCAUGGUGUAGGGUUGAAAGAUGGUUUCGGCUAUCACUUUAGGAUGGACCCGCGGUGCAUUAGUUAGUUGGUGAGGUAAAGGCUCACCAAGACCGUGAUGCAUAGCCGACCUGAGAGGGUAAUCGGCCACACUGGGACUGAGACACGGCCCAGACUCCUACGGGAGGCAGCAGUAGGGAAUCUUCCACAAUGGACGAAAGUCUGAUGGAGCAACGCCGCGUGAGUGAAGAAGGUUUUCGGAUCGUAAAACUCUGUCGUUGGAGAAGAAUGUAUCUGAUAGUAACUGAUCAGGUAGUGACGGUAUCCAACCAGAAAGCCACGGCUAACUACGUGCCAGCAGCCGCGGUAAUACGUAGGUGGCAAGCGUUGUCCGGAUUUAUUGGGCGUAAAGCGAGCGCAGGCGGUUUCUUAAGUCUGAUGUGAAAGCCUUCGGCUCAACCGAAGAAGUGCAUCGGAAACUGGGAAACUUGAGUGCAGAAGAGGACAGUGGAACUCCAUGUGUAGCGGUGAAAUGGCGUAGAU
rnacentral:rRNA from 1 species